UACGUAGGGGGCAAGCGUUGUCCGGAAUCACUGGGCGUAAAGGGCGCGUAGGCGGCGCGAGCAGUCGAUCGUGAAAGUCCGGAGCUCAACUCCGGAUCGGCGGUCGAUACUCUCGUGCUUGAGCACUGUAGAGGCAGAUGGAAUUCCGGGUGUAGCGGUGGAAUGCGUAGAGAUCCGGAAGAACACCGGUGGCGAAGGCGGUCUGCUGGGCAGUUGCUGACGCUGAUGCGCGACAGCGUGGGGAGCAAACAGG
rnacentral:rRNA from 1 species